rnacentral:rRNA from 1 species
AAAUUGAAGAGUUUGAUCAUGGCUCAGAUUGAACGCUGGCGGCAGGCCUAACACAUGCAAGUCGAACGGUAACAGGAAGCAGCUUGCUGCUUUGCUGACGAGUGGCGGACGGGUGAGUAAUGUCUGGGAAACUGCCUGAUGGAGGGGGAUAACUACUGGAAACGGUGGCUAAUACCGCAUAACGUCGCAAGACCAAAGAGGGGGAUCUUCGGGCCUCUUGCCAUCAGAUGUGCCCAGAUGGGAUUAGCUAGUUGGUGAGGUAACGGCUCACCAAGGCGACGAUCCCUAGCUGGUCUGAGAGGAUGACCAGCCACACUGGAACUGAGACACGGUCCAGACUCCUACGGGAGGCAGCAGUGGGGAAUAUUGCACAAUGGGCGCAAGCCUGAUGCAGCCAUGCCGCGUGUAUGAAGAAGGCCUU